UCAUAUAUUACCUUCUUAACAUGAAUUAUGGCGCGCCAUUGUAAUUUCUAGAACAACAUAUGUAGGCUGAAAACUAGUAAGGUCAGUCUUAGUAGAUGUUUCAUCAGAAGUUUCAUAACUAUUAAAUAGCAUGCCGCAGUGAUGGCUAAUAAAGUUUCAAUCUUAAAGAGUAUUUUGAAACAGAUAGUAAAGUGUUAUUCAUCGUAGUAUCAUGUGCUAUGUUGGAAUAAGGCAGCACAUUCCUCUAGAAGCCCU
rnacentral:lncRNA from 1 species